rnacentral:lncRNA from 1 species
AGGGGUUUAGAUUCCCUCUGCUUCCCCUCUGCCAUCUCUGAUGGAUGGCUUGCAGUAGCUUGCCUGCUGGAGUGCUUGCCCAUCCGUGGGUGGAGUAUGCACUCGAUUAGCCAUGCCUGUCAAGGCUCAGGGAUGGAGGCAGCGGUGUGCUUGCUGUCUGUCACCAUCUCUUCCGCCUGCACCAGCAGCUGCGAUUUUGAUGUGAGGAGAAUCCUAUUUUAGGCAUUUUGGAAAAAGAGACAUAACCUCUGUCCUGGGGGGAAAUUACAGUCCCAUCAGGGAGGCAGAGUAUAGGCACGAAGAGGACUUAAUGCCCAAAGAAUCUCAACCAUCUCAAUUAGGCAUUAUCAGCAUAAGUCGGGUGAAGACCUACCUCCGUCGUGCUUUGUAGGAAGGUCCCGGGUGGGGUCCCGGAUGUGGAGGGUGAGCAAGGGGUCUGGGAGUGAGGGAGAAGGUCCGGUGAGGGCCAGUGGAUGGCGUCUCCUCUGGAUGUGCUUCUUCUGGAACGUUUCUCCCAUUCUAGACAUCAGGCUGGUUUUAUCCGCGUCUGGGUCCCGAGACAGCAUUCUGAUGAUCGUCAAAGGUCAGCCCUGGGCCCCCGCCUGGGGCAGCUGCUCCAGUUCUAUUUUCUUCCCUGUUCUGAGGGCCGACGGGGGUUCGGGUGCCAUUCACGAGAUGCUUGAGUGGAGCAGGCUGUGGGGACCCCCUGCCUGAACCCGAGUUGGAAGAGGUGCCUCUGGGAGUCUGGGGUUGCAGGGCCUGGGGACAAAAGACAUCAAAGCGCCCGGAGCACAUCCCUGAAUCGGAGUCUUAGAGAAAAGGGAGUAUCUGCGUUGCAGGUUCCCCCUUUUCUAUUUUCUUGUGUUGUUUUGCCUUUUAAGUGCAAAGAAGAUGCCGCACAGCAGGAACAUCUGUGCUCCUUAGGCUUCUGUGGCUGAUUUGUUAAAUGUAAAUUUCCUAAUGUAGGUUAUGGAGCUGGCGGAGGAGAGCAGCAGAGAGGCUGGCUGGGGAAACCUCUCUCCCCACUCAGCCUCAUGUGGUGCGUGUGGCUCCAGGGCCAGCCUUGAAGAAGGCGAGACCGAGGCCCCAGCUCCCCGUGCCCUUGGCUCUCCACCUUGGGGGCACGUGGGCCCUAUAAGGACAAGGCUUGUGCCCUUGGCCUUGGUGCCUUCGAAGCUGGUGAGAAGGAGCAGCUGGUGAUAAUGUGAACAGCCGCUGAGACAGUUCCUUAGAUGGUGGCCUGAAAUAUGCAAAGCCCGCCCUGUCGCUGGUGAUGGGGGGGCCUUGUGGGAGUUUUUUAGGGGCCAGUGGUUAUCUAGUGAGCAAACCCAGGAGAUGGGGACUCAGAGAAGCAAAAUGACCCUCUCACGAUCACACUCUGGAGGCACAGCCAGCACAGGAGCUUGGACAUGCUGAUUCACGCCAGAAGUACCACAGUUCCUCAAUUAAGGAUGCAUUUUCGUUCACAUUUGGAACGUCAAAACUCAGGCUGCAUCUUACCAAUGGCUGACAUUGUGUCAGAAGGGUGAACUUGGGAGCCUCUUGUGGCUCAGCCAUAACGAACCUGACUAGCAUCCAUGAGGACGCAGGUUCGAUCUCUGGCCUCCCUCAGUGGGUUAAGGAUCCGGCGUUGCCAUGAGCUGUGGUGUAGGUCACAGACACAGCUUGGAUCUGGCGUUGCUGUGGCUGUGGUGUAGGCUGGCAGCCACAGCUCCAAUUUGACCCUUAGCCUGGGACCUUCCGUGUGCUGCAGGUGUGGCCGUUAAAAGAACCCCCCCCACGGAAAAAGAAUGGUCACCCUUACAAUUCGUGGGGCUCCGGGUCCGUCAGAUGUGGUAGAGCCUGUUUCUCAAGCGCUUGCAUGAUGACUGGUGGUGUGGCACUUGCUUCGGACAUGUCUGCUAAAUUCAAUCCUCAACAAAAUCAAAUCCACCCAUUUCUGAUGCGAAACCUCAGCUCCUCUCCAGCCAAGCCGCUGGUCGGUGGCAGAGUUUCCGGCUCCAAGGGGUUGGGGGGCCCUUGCGAGGGAGAGAGGCUCUCAGACCUUGUCUCUGUUCCCUGGUGCCCACCUCAGACGGGCUGAUGGUGUGGGUCUUUGGCCCUUCCCUGUGCCUCUGGAACGAGACCACUUUCUUUCUUCUAGUGGUCACCAAGCUGCCGCCUGCGAGUUUUCUGGACACUUGCGGCUGAACUGUGUUCCGAUCGAAAGAAACGCAAUUACUCUCGGAGACUCGAGGGCAAUUGUGAACACUUGCAGCCUUGCCUUCUUGCUCGAUACUCGCUUGGAGGGGCUCUCCUGAGAGGGCUGGAAAGCCAUCUCUGGCUGGAGAGCGAUCUGGACAGCCUCGGCUCUGUGCCGGGGAUGCACCGGCAGCUCUUCGCCUCUCUCAGGGCGGGGCAGAGUUAUUUUCACUCAGGCGUGGAUGGGGGACUUGACUCAGGACAGAGGUGACAUCCCGCCUCUUUCAGGUGCGAGCCAAUUUGUCGAAAGGUAGCAGAGGGGAUUGUUAGGGAUGCCAGGCAGUUUGGAGUGUCCUCCAGGGAGAGAACCUGAAGGGGGGAGGCGCCUUCAGAUGUUCCGCGCCCUUUUGCAAAGCGCUGGGAGGGUCAGCAGUUCCUACCCUGAGAAUCUCAUCAAAGAGCUAAGUGAUGCCCAGAGGGAUGCCUAGUUCUCCCAGAAUGCUGAGUCCCAAGCUUUCUUCUUGUUGAAAUAGGCGGCGCGGGGCGGGGUGCCUCUCACCCCCAUCUUAAGGUGCAGAUAGAAAGAAUGCUAAGCACACUCGUGCUGUCUUUGUGCCCAAGCUGGGUGAGGGGAGGGGACCCAAGGAGGGUGGCCCAGGGAGGGAGAGGGAAGAGACCUGGGGGCAGCGGUCUGGGCCCGGUGGUGGUCAUUCCCUCCCCAGCGAUGGACAUGGGCCCUCUGAGCCUCCCCCUCGCUGGCUCUCUGCGAGCGUUUCUUCCAUCACAGUGGCGUUUCUUCUGCCCCCUCACCCAGCCCUCCUGACUCUGCACCACCCACCUGGGCCCAAGGGAGGUGGAUGGAAAGGUCCUUCCAUGGCUCCCUUACUUUCAUCUCUAAUGGGGAGCCUUGGAUUUGGAGUUGGCGGCCCGGGGGCGGGGGUUCUAGCUGCUCCCUGUGGACCCCAGAGCUCAGCCAGACAGGCUGGGACAAGGGGGCCAGGCGCCUCUGACUGCAGCUUCUGCACCGGCCGUGUGCUUGUUGAGCUCGUGCCCAUGGCUCCCAGGCCUGAUCUCUCAGUUAUUACUGCGCACAGCCAAGCAGACAGCAGCGGUAAUUAUCAGCACUUUGAGAGCUGCCAUUCGCCUCGCUCGGCAAGGUGACUCAGAACAUUAGAUCAGAAUUAGAGAAGGAGAAAAAAACGAUCCAGCGAAGCCCCCCCGACCCCACCCCACCCUUGUGUGAUCUCCGGCUCUCAAGCCCACCGAAGCACUCACUUUGGAGACAGAGCUCUGUCACACUGGUGUUCACUCUGCCCUUUCUCCUGGAUGAGGCACGUAGGGUUCCCUGCAGUGGAAGGGGCUGCCUUGUCAUCUGGCUCACGCCUGCACCUCUGGGAGCCAUCAGGUUUGUGCUGAAGGAGCCCUGGGGAGAGGCGGCAAGCUGGAGAGGGAGACGUGGUCACCGGAGGCAAGGCGGGAGCCCUGCUGUUGACUCUUCUGAUUUGUCUAUUGUGUUGACCUGGGAUGCUUUGCUCUAGUUUCAAAUUUUAAGCUCCAUGAGGGUAGAACAGGCUCGGUCUGGCUCACAGCUGCACCUCCAGAACCUGGAGCUGAGCCCAGGUAGUGCUUGUGGGAGCAGGAUUCGGGACUGGCUCCAGUGUGCCAGAGGCAGGGAGCCCCUUGCCAGCAACUACUGCCCCCCCCCGGGGGGGGGUAGGAGGCAAACACACUGGGGCUGUCUGCUGGGGUGUCCUCUGCACUUUCUGCUCAGGGAUUGGCCUGCAGAGCCUGACUAAGGAUGGAAAAUUUUAUUCUUGCUUCAGGAAAGCGCAAGAAAAAUAUUUGUUCCCAUCAUCAAAGUGGAAAUUUAAGUCAAUGACAAUGGAAACUAUUUCUGGCCAUUCACAGACUAGGAAGAGAAGGGAGUGGGUCGAUUCAAAACAGGGUGGAAGAAUUCAGGCACUGAAAACUGUAAAUUUUAGGGGUGAAAUAACAGCACAGAAAUAAAAACUCACCAAGGGAACAUAAACCAGCCCUUUUGUCAAGCAGACAGGGCAAACCCCGUCCUAUUUCCUGGUUUGAGCUGGGCUGCAGAGGUGAGGGGCAGCAGGGGGAACUUCUAAGGGAGAAGCGCUGGGGUUUCCUCCCCCUCCUGCACACGACUUGUUGACAUCAGGCAGCUUUUCAGGGCGUCCGGUCACCCAUGCACGCCUGUCUCCUUCAUCCCCACCCUCUGAAAACCCUAUUUUGGCGGAGUCUCUGGGGUAGAUGGACACCAGAGGGUUUCCAGGUGAAAAUGCGAGGGGCGCCCAGCAGUGAGCCAAAGCUUGCCUGGGAGUUGGGUGUUUUGUGGGUUCAAAUCGGGCUGGGAAGGAAGCAGCUGACUAGAAUAAUCUGGAGGGGGGCAGGGGAGAUAGAUGAAGUAAGAUGGACCCUGCAUUGGGGGUGAUUGGUCUGGGGUGCUGGCUCCUAUAGGGUUCAUUUUAUGACUCUGUUUAAUUUGGCUAAUGUUCAUCCAUGUCCAUAAUCAAAAGUCACAAAAUACAAGAAGCAGCUGACCCCCCGUUUCCCUCCUUGGGCACCAUCCCCUAGUGGAGGUCUCUUUCCUCUUUUGUUCUAUGUAGACUGACUCUCCCAAGACCCGGGUCCCAAAUCCUGCAGGAAUGUGGAAAGGAAAAAAUGUGAGACAGACUUUUAUCAGGGUUUGCAUUGAGCGCUUUAGUUUUUUCCAUGGCCUUUUGGAGAUCCACUUCUGAGAAGCAGCGAGGGUUUUCCCUGUUCCCAAGGUACACGUCCAGGAACAUACUGAGGCCAGCUGGACACCUGGUGGGGGCUCCCAAGUCCACGUUCCCAGCUCCACUGGGGGCCUCUGGUACUGCCCCCCUCGGGCCAUGUCCCCUCCUCUGGUGGGUGCCCCUUCCUCAAUGGUAGUGCCUGGGUUCGGGCUCAGAGGGGCUGCCGUGCCUGCAGGAGCGGGGGCUGUGCUGCCCCCACUGCCUGGAGGGGCCGUUGUUCAAGCCAGCACUUUGCAGCCUCCACAGGAGGGGUUCCACAUUGCAUAGGCGGCCAGAACAGGACGGGCUGGGCGAACCUUUUUGCCCAUGUUGUGCAGAGAGGCCUUCUGCCUGGACCCUGGGGUGGCUGUAGCAUAAACGCUCGCGCAUGCGAAGGGGUCGUCUUUGAAUUCCUGUGUGAAUCCAUCAUGUAUUCACGGCCCCCAUUUGUUCCUGCCCUACAAGGAGCUCUCUUCCCAACCUCGUUCUUGUAUAUGAUUUUCUUUUUGGUGGCGGCCCCAUUGACCAGGUAAUUAUUUGGCAGCUGAAUCGAGGCAGCCUUCUCCUUGCUCGCUUCCGCUCUCUCCUCUAGGUCACAGCUCAUGGGCACAGUACAGAGGUCAGGUGCGUACGGCCUGAGUCUGUCCUGGCCCCGCCGACUCAGAACGCAAGUCUGAGAAGACCUAGCAGUGGUCACAGACCCGGCUGCGGUGGCGUCCCCCUCUUUCACCGUCUCCAUUGCCCGAGUUGGCCUCAUGCCCAUUUCUUCCCUGCCAUUGGCACUCUCUCCCAGUGGGGCACCUCCUCAGCCUCUCUUCCUGUCCCUUUACCAGGUGGCCACCGAGGAGCAUUUUAUGAAGAUGCAAAUCUGGAGGCCGUGAUGGAGGAUAAUAUAAGAAAGGGAAGCAUGACCCGGUCACUUUGCUAUAUAGCAGAAAUUAGCGCAAUUGCUAAAGUAGAGCAAAUCAGCUAUACUUUAAUUAAAAAAGUUAAAUGAAAAACAUAAAAUAAGAUCACAAAUCUGAUCAUAACCUGCCUGCUUCCAACUCUUCCGGGGCUCUCCGUGGCCCACAGCGCGAGUGAGGUCUUCAGCGGGGCCUGCGUGCCUUUUAGGAGCUGAGGCCACCCUUGUCCCUCGGCUUCUCCUCUGACCACUUCUGCACACACAUCUCAGGUUGCAGCUUGCCAUCUCUUUUGUUCUCAUUCUCUGCUGGUUACAGCCCCCCUCACCUUUGCAUCCGCCAGUCCCUCGCUGGGAAAUGUUCACCUGCCUUGUUCAUCCCAAAACUGUGUGUUCUUGUGGCAGACCCUUAUCUGCGGUUCUGACAUUCAAAAAGUUCUGAAAGGAGUUCCCGUUGUGGCUCCGUGGUUAACGAAUCCGACUAGGAACCAUGAGGUUGCGGGUUCGAUCCCUGGCCUUGCUCAGUGGGUUAAGGAGCCAGCGUUGCCGUGAGCUGUGGUGUAUGUCGCAGACGCAGCUCGGAUCUGGCAUUGCUGUGGCUCUGGCGUAGGCCGGUGGCCUCAGUUCCAAUUAGAUCCCUAGCCUGGGAACUUCCAUAUGCCUCAGGUGCAGCCCUGGAAAAGACAAAAAGAAUGACAAAAAAAAAAAAAAAAAAAAGU